rnacentral:rRNA from 1 species
CCUACGGGAGGCAGCAGUGGGGAAUAUUGGACAAUGGGGGGAACCCUGAUCCAGCCAUGCCGCGUGUGUGAAGAAGGCCCUCGGGUUGUAAAGCACUUUCAGUGAGGAAGAACGCCUGGUGGUUAAUACCCAUCAGGAAAGACAUCACUCACAGAAGAAGCACCGGCUAACUCCGUGCCAGCAGCCGCGGUAAUACGGAGGGUGCGAGCGUUAAUCGGAAUUACUGGGCGUAAAGCGCGCGUGGGUGGCUUGAUAAGCCGGUUGUGAAAGCCCCGGGCUCAACCUGGGAACGGCAUCCGGAACUGUCAAGCUAGAGUGCAGGAGAGGAAGGUAGAAUUCCCGGUGUAGCGGUGAAAUGCGUAGAGAUCGGGAGGAAUACCAGUGGCGAAGGCGGCCUUCUGGACUGACACUGACACUGAGGUGCGAAAGCGUGGGUAGCAAACAGGAUUAGAUACCCGAGUAGUC